rnacentral:rRNA from 1 species
GACGAACGCUGGCGGCGUGCUUAACACAUGCAAGUCGAACGGUAAGGCCCUUCGGGGUACACGAGUGGCGAACGGGUGAGUAACACGUGGGUGAUCUGCCCUGCACUUCGGGAUAAGCCUGGGAAACUGGGUCUAAUACCGGAUAGGACCCUGGGAUGCAUGUCCUGGGGUGGAAAGCUUUUGCGGUGUGGGAUGGGCCCGCGGCCUAUCAGCUUGUUAGUGGGGUGAUGGCCUACCAAGGCGACGACGGGUAGCCGGCCUGAGAGGGUGACCGGCCACACUGGGACUGAGAUACGGCCCAGACUCCUACGGGAGGCAGCAGUGGGGAAUAUUGCACAAUGGGCGCAAGCCUGAUGCAGCGACGCCGCGUGAGGGAUGACGGCCUUCGGGUUGUAAACCUCUUUCGGCACCGACGAAGCGCAAGUGACGGUAGGUGCAGAAGAAGGACCGGCCAACUACGUGCCAGCCGCCGCCGUAACAC